rnacentral:rRNA from 1 species
GACGAACGCUGGCGGCGUACUUAACACAUGCAAGUCGAACGGAAAGGCCCUGCUUUUGUGGGGUGCUCGAGUGGCGAACGGGUGAGUAACACGUGAGUAACCUGCCCUUGACUUUGGGAUAACUUCAGGAAACUGGGGCUAAUACCGGAUAGGAGCUCCUGCUGCAUGGUGGGGGUUGGAAAGUUUCGGCGGUUGGGGAUGGACUCGCGGCUUAUGAGCUUGUUGGUGGGGUAGUGGCUUACCAAGGCUUUGACGGGUAGCCGGCCUGAGAGGGUGACCGGCCACAUUGGGACUGAGAUACGGCCCAGACUCGUACGGGAGGCAGAAGUGGGGAAUAUUGCACAAUGGGCGGAAGCCUGAUGCAGCAACGCCGCGUUCGGGAUGACGGCCUUCGGGUUGUAAACCGCUUUCGCCUGUGACGAAGCGUGAGUGACGGUAAUGGGUAAAGAAGCACCGGCUAACUACGUG